rnacentral:rRNA from 1 species
UACAGAGGUCUCAAGCGUUGUUCGGAUUCAUUGGGCGUAAAGGGUGUGUAGGUGGCGCUGUAAGUCGGGUGUGAAAUUUCGGAGCUUAACUCCGAAACUGCAUUCGAUACUGCCGUGCUUGAGGACUGGAGAGGAGACUGGAAUUUACGGUGUAGCGGUGAAAUGCGUAGAUAUCGUAAGGAAGACCAGUGGCGAAGGCGGGUCUCUGGACCAGUUCCUGACGCUGAGGCACGAAGGCCAGGGGAGCAAACGGG